AAGACAGAAAAUGAAUAAUAAUUCACAAAGGCAAUCACAAAAUAUACUUUCACUUUGUCCAAGUGAAAAAUCAAGCUCUAAUAGUAUGUUAAAAUAACCAUUUUCCUAGGACAAGUAGUACAAUAUGGUGAAAUAGAAAUGGUGUUGAAUCAAUUCUAAUUGUGGACCUUUGCACAGAAGUACAGCUGCUAAAAACUUUUCAGAUUGACAUUUACAGAAAACAAAGUGGAUCAAUUAAAUCUGCUACUUUCAGCCUGUUUUCCAACACCCAACAUCGAUCUUUCCCCACUUGCCAAAUAUUCCUAAGGUUAAUAAUUUUUCUCUAGAGAACUAGUCUCCCAAUCAGAUUCCCAGAUGUUCUCACCCCUAGAAGAUACAGAAAGCUGAGUAUGGAGCAGUAUCAGUAGCAAGACAAAUGGCAACCUUAUUCUAGCUGUGAAAUGGACCAACACCAAGCUCUUGACAAUAUUCAAGAGGCAUCAUCUUGAUGUGAGACAUGAAACUCUGGAAAACAGAGGUGAGCUAGCAGGACCAGUUUUUUCACAUCUUCAACCCAGAUUUGAUAAACUCUGCAUUUUGGGGUGAGAGAUGUAAGAGCAAGAAUAUGAUAUCAAAUCUGGAUGCUGCAUUUUAAGUAGAACAUUGAAAAAUUAUAAAGUGCUCAGUAUGUGAAGACUGGAAAUAAUCUCCAACACGCAAUAAGAAAGAUGUGGGAUAAUUUUGCCUGGAGAAGAUAAAGCUAAGAAGAAUAUGGGAAUGAUCUUCAAAUAUCUGGAGAGCUGUUAUGAAAAAAGUGAGCCCAUUUUGGGUAGGGGCACCCACAGUGGAGUUAGAGCUGAAGCACUGGCUGUGAUCCCCACCUGCCACUCACUGACUAGAAGACUUUGGACCAUUUACCUAAUCUCUCUGUGGCACACAGCGUUGUCCAAAAAGUGGCUGCAAUAAUGCCUCUGGUCCUACUUGCUCUUUGAUUCCAUCAAGAGAUAGGGUCUCCGUCCUCUUCUUUUGACCUUGAGUGGGCCUGUAUGACUGCACUGACUAGAAGAGCACAGUAGAAAUGAUGCUAUGUGACUUCCAAGACUAUGUCAAAAAAGCCAUUUGGCUUCUGCCUGGCUCUGUCUUGCAGCACUUGCUUUUGGAGCCCUGAGCCACCAUGUUGAGAAACCCAGAUACCCUGAUGCUGCCAUGCCGAGAGACAAGUGGAGAGACUAUAUGGAGGCGGAGAUGCUCCAGGCACUCCAGCGGCGGUCUGAUUACAACUGUAAGAGAGAUGCUCAGAGAACAGUCGCAAAAAUUGAGAGAUGAUAAAAUGAAUCUGCUAAGGGUAGGAGUGGCUUAUUACAUAGCAAUAGACCACUGGGACAUUCUCUGAGCCUUACUUGUAAAGAGAUUAUGAUCCUGAGCUAUAGAGAGAUUGUUGUACCAGGUAAAUGAGAUGCUCCAUAUCAUGGUUUCAUACCCACACUGAGUACCUUAAUCAUGACUGCUUCACAGGAUGGGAUGGAUACCAGAAGCACAGGAGGCAGAUGUUGGCUUAUCCUGGAAGGAUCAUUUUAGCAUUAGAACUGUCAAACAGGACAGGAGCCACUUCAGGAAGUGUGCCCCAAGGACUGCAGAUAUUUAGGCUGGAUGCUCAUGAAUGUGUCAAGGUUGUCCCUCAUAGGACACUUGUAGUGGGUAAGAGUCAGACAUGCAAGCAGGUGAAACCUUUGAUCCUGGAUUGAACUUGUUUUGCUAUAAUUUUGAAGCUCCUCUUUCUUUAGGCAUGCAUGGAACUAGCAUUGUUAUACCGUACAUGUAUCUCUGUAAACAACCUCAUAUCCUUUUUGUAACAAGACAGAACAGAUAAAAACAAACAGAAACCAUCUACUAAUAUUUAGCAAAAAAAUGACUCUGGGGAUUCCAUAGAAAGCUCAUUCCACAAAUAUUUAAAAUAUGUUAAACAAUAACUCUUAAGUUAUGGUGAGAGUUAAUAAAAGACCUCUGACCAUCUAGCAAUCUGUUUGAAGAGUUUAUACAACUUAUUUUUUUACCCUUUAAUACAAAAAAUAUUAAAUCAAUGCAUUAUUGGGCGCCUUAUAGCA
rnacentral:lncRNA from 1 species